UAUAUGCGUCUAAAUAGUACUUUUGACAACUGCCAAAAAUUAUGGAAUGUAAUGUGGAUUUAUUAAAUUCUCAAUAGUGGCUGGAUUUUAAGAAUUAGCCAC